AUAUUCAUGCCAAGUGGCAAAAUUCGGUGAAAAGAGAGAGGAAAAAGAUGUUCGGCACGAAAAAUGAGGAAAAAAAGUCUCCUUCGCUAGCAAUAGCAGUGCGUCACUUGAGGCGACAAUGACACACUACUCGAGGCAAUAAUGGCCCGUCUUACGCUCUGCAAGCGCGCAGGCCUCCUGCCGCGCGCACAAGGGUUAGUCUGCAUGCACGGAGGGCCUUGGUACACUGGGCGUCAUGCGCGCAGGCCCCAGGCGCACAGGGGCCUAUCAUUGCAGGCAUGUUAUGCGUGCAGCACCCGCACAGUGUGCGAUGCUUGUCUGCGCACGAGUUGAUGCGCAGAUGGCUCACCUGCGCACGACAGGGUGAGCACGGGAUCUGACCCCACAUUGCGCGCACGGAUGGGAUGUGCGUGCUGUGCCCACGUCUCGCGCUAGCUCU
rnacentral:lncRNA from 1 species